rnacentral:rRNA from 1 species
GACAGAGGGUGCGAACGUUGCUCGGAAUUACUGGGCGUAAAGCGCGUGUAGGCGGGUCGACAAGUCGGAUGUGAAAUCCCCGGGCUCAACCCGGGAACUGCACCCGAAACUGUCGGCCUUGAGUGCCGGAGAGGGUGGCGGAAUUCCUGGUGUAGAGGUGAAAUUCGUAGAUAUCAGGAGGAACACCGGUGGCGAAGGCGGCCACCUGGACGGCUACUGACGCUGAGACGCGAAAGCGUGGGGAGCAAACAGG